AGGUUCCUGGACUGUUCGUCAGUAGCGAACGUUCUUGAGCCGAUAAUACUUUUUUUGGGAUUCCUUCGUAGGAAGUGUUGUGCAAGUCCGUUUCGAUCGGAAAGCCUGAUCAUCCUCCUGGUCUCCCCCCUGAACCUUUGGGUUCUAGGGCCUCUACCUACAACGGCAGUCUGGGUUUUUA
rnacentral:other from 1 species